GACGAACGCUGGCGGUGUGCUUAACACAUGCAAGUCGAACGGUAAGGCCCUUUCGGGGGUACACGAGUGGCGAACGGGUGAGUAACACGUGAGUAACCUGCCCUCAUCUCUGGGAUAACAGUCGGAAACGGUUGCUAAUACUGGAUAUGAGCUUGCAAGGCAUCUUGUGGGUUGGAAAGAUUUUUUUUGGUUGGGGAUGGACUCGCGGCCUAUCAGCUUGUUGGUGAGGUAGUGGCUCACCAAGGCUUCGACGGGUAGCCGGCCUGAGAGGGCGACCGGCCACAUUGGGACUGAGAUACGGCCCAAACUCCUUCGGGAGGCAGCAGUGGGGAAUAUUGCACAAUGGACGGAAGUCUGAUGCAGCAACGCCGCGUGCGGGAUGACGGCCUUCGGGUUGUAAACCGCUUUCAAUUGUGACGAAGCUUUUUUGUGACGGUAGCAGUAGAAGAAGCACCGGCUAACUACGUG
rnacentral:rRNA from 1 species